rnacentral:rRNA from 1 species
AUACGAAGGGCCCAAGCGUUAUUCGGAAUCACUGGGCUUAAAGCGUACGUAGGCGGAUAUGCAGGCAUCGGGUGAAAUCCCUCGGCUCAACCGAGGAACUGCUCGGUGAACCGCAUGUCUUGAGACAGGUAGAGGUUGUCGGAACGCUAGGUGGAGUGGUGAAAUGCGUUGAUAUCUAGCGGAACGCCAAAGGAGAAAGCAGGCAACUGGGCCUGUUCUGACGCUGAGGUACGAAAGCGUGGGGAGCGAACGGGAUUAGAAACCCCAGUAGUCC